rnacentral:tRNA from 1 species
GUGCCCGUAGCUCAGCUGGAUAGAGCGUCGGUUUCCUAAACCGAAGGUCAUGCGUUCGAAUCGCAUCGGGCAUA